AUAUAACAGCAGUACCCGGUAAAUAGAUAUGGUGCACGUCUUGCUCAGAAGGAGGUACCAACAGUAAACUGACAUGGGACACAUCCAGCUCAGAAGGAGCUACCAACAGUAAACUGACAUGGUGCACGUCUUGCUCAGAAGAAGGUACCAACAGUAAACUGACAUGAGACACGUUUUGCUCAGAAGGAGUUAC